AGCGACGCCGCGUGAGUGAUGAAGGACUUCGGUUCGUAAAGCUCUGUUGCAAGGAAAAAGCAAGUGAUUGUACCUUGCGAGAAGGGUCGGCUAACUUCGUGCAGCAGCCGCGGUAAGACGAGGGACCCUAGCGUUGUUCGGAAUCAUUGGGCGUAAAGCGGGUGUAGGUGGCUUUGUAAGUCAGGUGUGAAAGCCCAGGGCUCAACCCUGGAAGUGCAUUUGAUACUGCGAAGCUUGAGUGCUGGAGAGGUUACUAGAAUUCCUGGUGUAGUGGUGAAAUACGUAGAUAUCAGGAGGAAUACCGGUGGCGAAGGCGGGUAACUGGCCAGACACUGACACUCAGACCCGAAAGCGUGGGGAUCAAACAGGAUUAGAUACCCUGGUAGUCCACGCCAUAAACGAUGGAUACUUGUUGUUAGAGGUAUUGACCCCUUUAGUGACGAAGCUAACGCGUUAAGUAUCCCGCCUGGGGAGUACGGUCGCAAGAUUAAAACUCAAAGAAAUUGACGGGGA
rnacentral:rRNA from 1 species